CUGCACGAUGGAAGCAAUCAUUCUGCCUUUCCCCACGAGGAGAAUGACUAUUCCUUCAGUGCUAUAACAAUGAGGACUUUUCAGGGCCACCUGCCUUGGAGUAGAGGCCGAGUGGUAGUAUAUUUCUCCUACAUUA
rnacentral:snoRNA from 1 species